rnacentral:snoRNA from 1 species
AUAGCACUUUAACAGGUCUUGGCCUUGUGUGGUAGGCCAUGAUUUGGUAGCUGGUGCUUAGAACAGUGUUUCCCUUUAGCGAAAACCAGGAGCUUGUUGUACCUCCUGGGUCAUUGUAGGGAAGUACAUGU